rnacentral:misc_RNA from 1 species
UCCCCGUUGCCGGGGCAGUCUAGCCAGAGAAAUUCAACUGGCUACAAGGGUUGCGCUCGUUAAUGGACUUAACCAAACAUCUCACGACACGAGCUGACGACGGCCAUGCAUCACCUGUCACUGCGCUCACAAGGCACAGUCUCCUUUCGGAGACCUUCGCAGGAUGUCAAACCUGGGUAAGGUUCUUCGCUUACCUUCGAAUUAAAGAACACGCUCCACCGCUUGUGCGGGUCCCCGUCAAUUCCUUUAUGUUUUAGUCUUGCGACCGUACUCCACAGGCGGGAUGCUUAACGCGUUAGCUUCGCUACAAGCCGGGUCGAUACGGCUUACAGCUAGCAUCCAUAGUUUACGGCGUGGACUAC